rnacentral:misc_RNA from 1 species
AGAUGCUAUUUUGUUUAUAAUUUAUUUAAAAAAUACGUGGGCAUCUAUCCCAAUCACAAAGGAUAGUUGCCCUGAUUUUUUGAGGUAUAGGUGCCUUUAGGGGCAUCUAUCCCUUCAUUCACCAUAUACAGACAGAACUAUGCCACGAAAAUAUAAAAGAAAGGAAGAAAUGCGAGCUCGAGUAUGUUCUUGGACUAUAGAAAAC